rnacentral:rRNA from 1 species
AGCGUAGACGGCAUAACAAGUCUGAUGUGAAAGGCUGGGGCUUAACCCCGGGACUGCAUUGGAAACUGUUAAGCUUGAGUGCCGGAGGGGUAAGCGGAAUUCCUAGUGUAGCGGUGAAAUGCGUAGAUAUUAGGAGGAACACCAGUGGCGAAGGCGGCUUACUGGACGGUAACUGACGUUGAGGCUCGAAAGCGUGGGGAGCAAACA